AGCAGUAGCCGCGGUAAAACGGAGGGUGCAAGCGUUAAUCGGAAUUACUGGGCGUAAAGCGUGCGUAGGUGGUGGUUUAAGUUCGUUGUGAAAGCCCUGGGCUCAACCUGGGAAUUGCAGUGGAUACUGGGUCACUAGAGUGUGGUAGAGGAUAGUGGAAUUUCCGGUGUAGCAGUGAAAUGCGUAGAGAUCGGAAGGAACAUCUGUGGCGAAGGCGACUAUCUGGGCCAACACUGACACUGAGACACGAAAGCGUGGGGAGCAAACAGGAUUAGAUACCCCUGUAGUCCCUGUCUCUUAUAC
rnacentral:rRNA from 1 species